rnacentral:lncRNA from 1 species
CAUUAAUCCCGCACAAAACAGGACACUCUUAAUGGCCUUAAUCAAUUAAUGAAAACUGUUGACAUUUAGAAUUUUCUGACCUCUAAAUUCAUAGAGCUAAGUGUGUACACUUAUCAUUAAUUUUAGAAACUUACACAAAGUAUCAGUAUAGCAGUAUUUUACAUUUUUGGAUCAGAAAGUAGGAAAGAUUUACAUUACUUGAAUAUUUUAAAAUACUUUUCAGGCUCAGAAGGCAAAACAGAAAAACCCGAAGAUACGGAGUUUUGGAUACAAACAUAGAAAAUAUGGAGCUGACCCCAUUAGAACAAGAUGAUGAUGAUGAUGAUACACUAUUUGAUGCCAGCCAUCCUCGAAGUUGGAGAAGGGAUGUCAACAUCACUUGAAUUUUAAAUGGGCAAGAAUUUAGUGGGCAAGAAGAUAAACACCAUUUGUCUUCAACAUGUGAGUUCCAGAGAAAUGGAGAGGAAGAGAAGUACGUGCCUUUCAGUGAAAGAACUUAAUCUUAGAACCAGAGAAGGAGACUGCUUCAUGGGAGAAAUAAGAAGCAAGAGGGUAUGCGAGUGGGGCGGAACUAAUUUAAUGUGUGUAUUUUAUGGCAUCCUUAAUAUCUUGCAAUAAGUAAUGUAUCAAUUUGUUGUAUCUUUUUUGUAUAUAGAGAUUCUCAAUGUAUAGCCUAUGGGGAGAGAAUACUAACUGCACUAAGAUAAAAAACCUAUUUGGAAGGGAGAUUACUUGUAAAACAGGCUGUUUUUUGCUUGUUACAAAUCUUGUAUGCCAUUAAGUAUGGUAUACACUUUUUUUCUACAGUAACCUGGAAUGUUAAUUUUUUCUUCUGAUAUUAAAUUGUAAAUAAAUAUAGCCACUGUGGACUUCCCUGAAUUGUU